GCCUGUGUGGAGAAACUGGUAAACUCAGUUGAUUCAAAAUCAACCGCUUAGGCUUGCCGGUUCGAGUCCGGCCACAGGUACCA
rnacentral:tRNA from 1 species